GUGAGGAAUAUUGGUCAAUGGGCGGAAGCCUGAACCAGCCAUGCCGCGUGAUGGAAGGAGGCCCUAUGGGUCGUAAACAUCUUUUGUGCGGGAGCAAUAAGGGCCACGCGUGGUCCGAUGAGAGUACCGUACGAAUAAGCAUCGGCUAACUCCGUGCCAGCAGCCGCGGUAAUACGGAGGAUGCAAGCGUUAUCCGGAUUUAUUGGGUUUAAAGGGUGCGUAGGCUGUUUUCCAAGUCAGCGGUGAAAUGCCGGGGCUUAACCCCGGAACUGCCAUUGAUACUGGGAGGCUUGAAUGCGGAUGCCGUGGGAGGAAUGAGUAGUGUAGCGGUGAAAUGCAUAGAUAUUACUCAGAACACCGAUUGCGAAGGCAUCUCACGAAUCCGCUAUUGACGCUGAGGCACGAAAGCGUGGGGAUCAAACAGG
rnacentral:rRNA from 1 species